rnacentral:rRNA from 1 species
UGGGGAAUAUUGGACAAUGGGGGGAACUCUGAUCCAGCCAUGCCGCGUGUGUGAAGAAGGCCUUAUGGUUGUAAAGCACUUUAAGCGAGGAGGAGGGUACUGGUAUUAGUACUACCAGCUACUGGACGUUACUCGCAGAAUAAGCACCGGCUAACUCUGUGCCAGCAGCCGCGGUAAUACAGAGGGUGCGAGCGUUAAUCGGAUUUACUGGGCGUAAAGCGUGCGUAGGCGGCUAAUUGAGUCGGAUGUGAAAUCCCCGAGCUUAACUUGGGAAUUGCAUUCGAUACUGGUUAGCUAGAGUGUGGGAGAGGAUGGUAGAAUUCCAGGUGUAGCGGUGAAAUGCGUAGAGAUCUGGAGGAAUACAGAUGGCGAAGGCAGCCAUCUGGCCUAACACUGACGCUGAGGUACGAAAGCAUGGGGAGCAAACAGG